CGAAAAACCUUACCUACCCUUGACAUGUCUGGAAGGCCGAAGAGAUUUGGCUGUGCUCGCAAGAGAACCGGAACACAGGUGCUGCAUGGCUGUCGUCAGCUCGUGUCGUGAGAUGUUGGGUUAAGUCCCGCAACGAGCGCAACCCUUGUCAUUAGUUGCUACGAAAGGGCACUCUAAUGAGACUGCCGGUGACAAACCGGAGGAAGGUGGGGAUGACGUCAAGUCCUCAUGGCCCUUAUGGGUAGGGCUUCACACGUCAUACAAUGGUCGGGACAGAGGGUCGCCAACCCGCGAGGGGGAGCCAAUCCCAGAAACCCGAUCGUAGUCCGGAUCGCAGUCUGCAACUCGACUGCGUGAAGUCGGAAUCGCUAGUAAUCGCGGAUCAGCAUGUCGCGGUGAGUACGUUCCCGGGUCUUGUACACACCGCCCGUCACACCAUGGGAGUGGGUUUUACCAGAAGUAGUUAGCCUAACCGCAAGGAGGGCGAUUACCACGGUAGGAUUCAUGACUGGGGUGAAGUCGUAACAAGGUAAGCGUAGUGCU
rnacentral:rRNA from 1 species